rnacentral:tRNA from 1 species
GGUGGAAUUCCCGAGUGGUUAAAGGGAGCAGACUGUAAAUCUGUCGUCUUAGACUUCGUAGGUUCGAAUCCUACUUCCACCA